rnacentral:lncRNA from 1 species
GCACAUAUACACCUAAAAGUAAUGCACAUGCCAUGCAUCCAUAUUUUUUUGCAUGUAAACAGGAUUUGUGACUUGAGAUUAUACAUAUUGAUACCAGUUUUUAUGAGGACCAAAGUAAGAAAUGCCUAUUCAUAUUUGUAAGGUCCAAGUAUAAGAAAUUCAAAAAUUAUAUUGUUACUGUUUAUGGGGGAUAGAAUAUACCCAUCAUUUGAUCUGCAUGUCAUAAGAGGCAAAUAAAGGGUCCCCAACUUUAAAGUAUAAGCUGUCAUGGUGAAAGGAUGAAUGGUGAAGGAUCAGAAGUCACUAAGAUGCCUGUCCAGAGCUCGACUCUCAGCAAAUGAGGAAAAUCUCUGGGACCUUGUGUGGAUACAGGCAACUGAUGCCCACAUCAACAUCUUUACCCUGCCAAUCCUCAAACCUGCUUGGAAAAAAAACAAAUUGAAACUCAAAAAUCUUAGCCCAACAAUAGUAACACGAAACCAUAAUAUAAAGUAGAAAAUGAAAUUAGCAUGCAGAAUAAUUAACUGCUGAUUAUGUGAAGUUUUUACUGUUUUAUUAAAAUAAAGAUUCUGAC